rnacentral:lncRNA from 1 species
GUGGACUUGAUAUCCCUGUGAAAGACUGGAAUUGUAAGCCCCGAGUGUAGGUAUGCCAAUGCUCCUGCUACCUCUGUGGCUACUUUUAAUCUCAAGCUCCAAGUAAAAGGGAAGGAUUCAGCCUCAUUGUCGUUUUGAAUGAGGUUAAAUAGGGUUCCAUUAGGGAUAUAUUCAUAGACAAGCAGAGGAACUUCUGUCUCCAAGCAACAACCCAGAAGUUUUACCACAUUCCUGUGAUUAACUUGCGAAACAAUGACGAGCUCGUUGAUGAACUGCUCCAAUAGGCUUUCGUCGACCUUCGACUUCUUGAUUGCCACAAUUCUUCCAUCGGCUAGGAUCCCUUUAUAUACUGUACCUUGGCCACCUUGACCAAGUAUUCGACUUUCGUUGAAUCCAUCAGUGGCCGCCUCCAAUUCCCUAGAAAUGAAAAUUCUAGAUUUUUCAAUAGCACCAUCUGCAGCAGAUAAUUGUUUCUCCAAUAGAAGACCUCCAUUUCGUUCAAAAUGGCCCUGCUUCUUCUUUUUAUUGCGUCUCUUCUGUAGCAGGACAAGACCAGUAAACACUGCAAUUGUCACCCCAGCAGCCACAGCAAGAUUUGGAGUCCUUAUGCCCAAAAGACAUAACGUAACUAUGACUACUGCAAGGAUGAGAAGUAGCAGAAAGAAUAACUUGAGAGGACUCAUUAUUGGGAAGUAGAGCAAAGUUUUAUCUUUCACUAGCAUAGGGAUAUUGUUGAACUGAUCAAAGAGCAUCUGCCUAAAUAUGUGAACCAAAAUGAUGUAGGAAAUAGUCAAAUUACCUUGGAGAAGUCUACAUCAGUUGAGAUCAGAUGCGGGCUAUUUUUUUGACUAGCAACUUCCUCGAUGUUUCGCUGCAAUUGCUGGAUGUAUUCGACGACUUAAGGAACCAGUAUGGAACAAUCCACUUCCGUGGUCAAAACUUGUUUGGCCGACCUCUUAGGUUGUGUUUGGAUUGCAUUUUCCGUCAUUUUUCAUGAAAAAAUUACUGUAGCGAUUUGAUAUAUGUGAGGGAAAAAGGUGAUAGGAAAAUGUGAUCACGGAAAAUGACAAUAUUUUCCGACGGAAACAAGCAAUCCAAGCAUGGCCUUAGUCUUCUUCUGAUCUUAACUCUUUUAACCAUCUCUUUUCCUACACUAAUUACCAAUUAUAUUCAAGGUUAUUUUUAUGGUGUUUUUGUCGGAUCAUCGGCAUCACCAGUUGAAAUCUACCAAGUUGAAAGCCAUUAGUGUAAAUUGUACAUCAGAUGUAAUAAAAUUACAGGUUUCAAUUUGUGAGACCCCUCAUCCGUUUCUAUUGGGUUCUUCCUUGAAAGCUUAUAAUCAUAGUUGGCAAGACUCUGUGUAAAUGGUAUUAAAAAUGGAACAGGAUUCAGCUCUGACAAAUCGAUAUACUUACGGUAAUAUUUUCUUUGUUGAGAGAAACCUAUGACAAUAUUUGUAUGUAUUUCAAUAACAAAAAGCGUACAUCCACUAAGAUAGAUGUAUACGGAUAAGAAUACUACAUGCAUUAAACACUUAUUAUUUUUUUUUUUGUCAGACUUUUUCAAGUUAGCAAUUAAACCUAAUCCCAAAAUUAACCUCAAAAGCCGGCAUUAAACACUUAUUUGGAUACAAGAUUGUUUGAAAUAAUUACUGUAACACUUUUUGAAAUAUAUUUGAAAUAAUUAUUGUAAUACUUUUUUACGAUAUGAUAUGAUGUAUACGGGGUAAAAAAGAUUGGAAAUAAGGGUGGUAAUUGGGUCAGAAACGGGUUGGCUGGUCGGGUUGAGAUCAGGGUACAUGGUUCUCCAACUUCAGUUCUGGUCCUCCAAGAAGGCAUAGGCAGAGGUAUUGGUUGCAAAGCUCUGCAAAGCGUUACGUGCAAUUGAAAAUUGUGUUGGCUGAGAUAGUAGGGAAUGCUUGCUUGACAGGAAUUGAUGCGACAGCAACCGAUUAUGAUAAGGAAUUGAUGUGUGUGUUGGUGCCACACAUUGAGGUGCAACCAACCAGACAAGAUCUCUGGACUGCCAAGUCGCGGUCUGAAGAGAGCAUUUCCACAGCCAAGGAACAUCACUUGUUGCAUUCUCUCGAAACAAAGAAGGGAGCUUCAGCAAGGGAACCUUCUGCAAUGGCCGGAUCAAAUGAAUCACUCCAGCAAACUUGGAGCAAGGGUAAGUUUAUGGUUACUGUUUGAUCACUCAGGGACACUUCCAGCACCUCAACAAUUUCUUGGGAACCUUUUCCUGGUUAAAGCACCCCAGAUACGGCUUUGAACUGUUGAUGGAAUCGCCAGAGACAUUAGUACAGCUUAUGAUGAAUGCUUCAUUGAGAGCACAAUCUGUUCUGGACAAAUUCCAACUGGGUAGGGAAUUGCCACUCCUCCAUAUGUAUCAAUGCAUCCUGGCUUCUCCACUGGAAAUCGUGUCGCCCCAAUGAUUGGACAAUGAGGUAAAGAAACACAAAUAACAUACAGAUUAACAUCAAUUACUCGUACCAAGUUAUUUAUUUCUUAACUUCCGAAUAAAGUCUGAAAUGUUGCAAAUGCAGAGGGCUGUAGGAGCAUGGGGGAUUUUGUCGACUAUCAUAUUGGUGCAUUUAGAUGCAAAAGUCAGUGAGUCAAGUCAGAAACGUAGCCAUUAAAGCAAAGUAAAUGAAUGAUACAAGCAAUUAUUUGAGAAUGUAUGGCUAAUUAAAGUCUUGAAUAUUAGCAUCUAUAAUUCCUAAGCGUCUGAGGUUAAACUUUCUGCAGAUUGAGAAACAGUAGAUGUUGAGUCUUCUUCCAAAUGAGGGCGUUUUGCAACGUGUACAACAUCUGUUGUGGAUCUGUUUUUUCUCUAGUCAUGGAAUGGACUAACGCAGUCCCCAUUUCGUUUUACAGUUUAAUUUACUUUCCACUUACUAGUAUUGUAAUUUGGAAACCAAACCCUUUAGCAGACCGAUUCACUUGUUUAUUUGGGAUUUAUCCCACUAAUAUCACGCAAAGAAUUUAAAUUAGGAGUAAUACUCAUUGAAACGCAACGGAUCUUCUGUCUAACUUUCUGUGCCACUCUUUGUCCUACUUUUUAUUAUAUUGCUAUUUCUUCUCUAUAAAUAUCGUAUUUUAGUUCUUUUUUAUUUCCUUAAAAUCCAAUAAUAAUUUAAUAGGUAUGGGGUCCAUAGCAUAGACAAUGAAUAUUGGAGUUUUAGUUUCUAUAUUACGUUAAACCUGAAAACAUUAUGUUCAAAGGGAACCAAUUUAGAAUUCUUGUAACAGUUUAAUAUCUUGUUUGUCGUAGCCUAAAGUAUUCAAAUUGGUUUCUUUUCAAUAUAACUUUAGCAAAUUAAACUAUUGCAAUUAAUUGAGAUAUCAGGAAUUAGAAGUUUUGAUUUCAAAUUCCUGUCUCCGUCGCUACUUCUCAAUUUCUACCCUCCCCUACUAAAUUUUUUUUUUUAAAUAUCCCAAGCAAUUUGUAAAUGGGAAGAUUUGAGAGUUUGAGGUAGAAAUUUUUUUUUUUAUUAACUGAUUAUUGUCUUUACCAAAUAUCAAAUGAGCUGAAUAAAUCUUUUCUUUUAAUUGUUUAAUACUUGGUUCACGACCGUGUGCCAGCCCAUCUCUAUUGACUACUCGAAUAUAUUUCUAGUGCCAAGCCCACAAAUAUUUCUAGUACCCAGCCGACAAAAACGACUACUUUCCAAGCCUGUAGCUCUUCCGAAAAUAGCCCAGAGUCUUUGCUGGGUCUGGCGGACACAAAGGACAGACUGAAAUUUAAUGUAUUCAUAUGUUUAUACGCGUUUGGUAAUGAAAAAUUGAACAUCUGAAUUAAUUAUGUGCUACUGAAUUUUUUAGAUAAAAUUUACUUCAAAAAAUAAGUGAUAAGCUGUUCAUCUAUCACUGAAUGUGAUAUAUAUAUAUAUAUAUAUUCAAAUGUGUCAAAUGUAAUAUUUAACAAUUUAAUAACUUAACAGAUUUAAACUUCAAACUUCACAUUUCAAAUUUCAGAUUUCAGUUUUUUCAAAUGCACCCUUAAGUGUUUGAUAAAAACACACUACUAUUUUGCACAUUGUAAAUAUACAGCUUUCACUCUAUGUUAUCAUCUUUAUGCAGCUGAGCAUCAAAGAUUAGGACUGCCUCACACAACGUGUGAAGGCAACUUGACUAGUUUUAAAUUAACGGGUUAAUCUUGUAAAAUAGAGUAUUUCAUGUUACAACGUCUAUUAUUGUGUAACAUGCGUAAAACUUAAGCAAAUUAGGUAGUGUCAAUUCGUCAACAAACAGGCAGGUCUUGCUCGAGGUUUUACACAACCCGUUACCAAAUAUUUCUGUUUGGACCUACUAGUUUUUCAAAAACUAAUUUUUCAAAUACUAUAAAAAUUUUAAAAAGUAUUCUAAAAGGUAUUCUAAAAAGUAAUCUAUUUUUUUUAAUUUUUAAAAAAUAUUUUAAAAACUCUGCUACUAUUAAAUAUUUCAAAAUGUUUUCUAAAAAUAUCCUAAAAUAUAUUUUAAAAACUCUACUAUAGUAAAAUUUUUCAAAAAUACCUCCAAAAACAGCUAAUCCAAACAGAGUAGUUUCAGAUUAGUUGAACAGGAAAUCGACCAAGCAGCCGGUCUGAAUCUCACUAAAAUACCAUCCGUUAAAAAUUGGUCAAAAAUCGGGUUUGAACAAAAACCGACAAACCGGUUGGAGCCCCAUUUUUUCCAUUUUCUUAUCCUGCCUUCACUGAUUGACAUUAUCUAUUCCCACAUCUCAGGUGCAAUUUCAAAUACGGUACUCGUUUUUUUUUUUCCUUCCUUUGAUCGUUAACUAGCUCUAAGAAGUAAAACAAGUCUGAAUUGAAGUUACAAACCUGGGAGAGAAAUUCCAUUAUCUUAAUUCCAUUCUCUAAGUUCUUGAAAGAUUUGAAAUCAAAUAGAAGUAAAAAAAAAAAAAGAAAAGAGCAAAGAAGGAAGAGAAGAGAGAGGAGAGAAAUAGAAAAGGAUAAAAACAAAAAAAACCACUUGUGGUUAAGUGAAUAUACAGAAAAACUUCUCAUGGUAUCAAAACAUGGCAUCCAACAACUCAUGAUUUGAAUUAAACUAAAAAUGCGACGGAAAUUAUCAAAACUAAUGUGGGUAGGCGAAAUAACAAAAAUACCCUAAUAUAUAUAGGGGUAAAAUGCAAAAAAACCAUUCUGAUUAAACCAACUUACAGAAAAGUUCUCUAUGGUUCUUAAAAAAAAAAUAAUAUUCAUCCCUUUCACACAUAAAACAAUUGUUUUGAUUUGGUUAAUAUCUAUAUAUGGGAUAACAUCAUGUACGUAAAGUACAACAUCCCUUUUGAUGGCUUUUUCGAUCUUGACAAUUUUUACUUUCACUUUUCACAAAUCUUGUAUUGGUAUCAUAGGAUUUAGUUCUGUUGUCCACUCGAGAGUUUGAGAAAGAUAUAAGCAACCAUUUUGCAAAAUUUUCCUUCACCUUAUAUAAAGAAAAUGUAUUGAAAUUCUUAGUUUAAAUUCUUAAAAAAGACCCUAUGAGAUAAUAUUAUAAUAGCAAAAACCCAGAUUUAAAACUUUUACUAUACCCUAAAAGUAGUGUACAUAAGACUAGUGGUUGAUUUCUCUCAAGAAGUUUUACUCCCUUUUCAAUAUAUUUCUUAAAGGUUUCGGAUCAAAUCCAACGUAUAUGUUUUAAAUCUACAGAGAGUUUUUCUAUAGGUUGGGUUAAUCACAGAGGGCUUUUCUAUAAGGUAGAAUAGGUAUAUCAAUUGAAAAUUAUUAUAAAAAAUUGUUUUUCGUUGUCACUAGUUGCAAAACAAGCACGUGUGCCACAAACACAUUAGUUUUAACAAUUUUGGAGCCUUCUCAAUUUAUUUCAAACUACGAGGUAUUGAAUAUAUGUUUUGAAAUCAUAGGGGGAGUUUUCUAUGUUCAUUUAACUAGAAGUGGUUUUUUUUGUUUUUUACCCGAAAGAAAAUAAUGAAGACAAGAGAGAGCUUUAAUGUGUGCGUGAUAAAAGAAGAGAACAAAGCAAAAGAAACAACGGGGAAGAAACAAGGAAAAAUGAAAGAAGAAAAGUAACUGGCGGUUGCGUAAGGUAGAAACAAGGAGGACACAUUAGGUUUGGCAUUUAUUAACUUUAAAUACCCUAAAACUUUGAGAUAAUUUUAUUUUGACCCUUUAUUAUUUUAAUAAAGCAUUAAAUUAAUCCAUUAUAUUUUUCAAAUUAUAUUGUUUACUUAUAACUUUUAAAAUUUUUUAAAUGGAGUUCUUUUGGACUAAAUCUAAAUUCAUCAAAUAUGUAUGUACAGUUGCAAACAACCAAUUUAAGAGGAAUUUUUUUUAUAUAUUAUUUAUAUUAUAUAUAAUUAAUAUAUAUUUAUGACGUGUUUAUGAUGUCAUCCAAUUUAACCUCCAACCUAACUGGUUCAUUCCAUUGAUCCUGAAACCUGAGUUCGACCGAGUUGUUACUUGUCAGAGUUUCAAAACACAUCCUUGCCUACUUUCAUCAUGCUUCAGAAUUAAUAUGUUGUGAUAUGGUCAACGAACUUUUCCUACUUUACUUGAUGAAGUUAUCAGUAAAAAGAUAGACGCUAAAGCUCUGUACAUUCUGCCACAAAAAAGGGGGAAGAAUUUGGGCCCCCGGCCCGGGGGAAGGGGGGGGGGGGUGGUGGGGAGAGGAGAAAAUAAUCACCGGAAGUUGUUUCUUGAACACCAAGUUCACAGUGCACACAAACAUUUUGUGGAAUUCUUGGGGACGACUGCCCUUUCCAGCCCUGUCAUUUUUCCGCCAGCGCUGAAUUAGAUUGUAUUGUUCAAUACCGCGCAGGCAUCUGAAGUUGACUUAACGUUCUCACUUCCAAUAGUCCAUGCGUCGUAAACAUCACUCAUCACAACAGCUUCUUCGUUGGUGCAACUUGGACUUUGAUAAUUUUCUUGAAUAGUUAACCCCCAUCUGCACAUUUUGAUGUUUUCCAACUCGAUGGAAACUUCCUUCAUAGUUGGUCUCCUCCUUCCAUCCCAGUCUAUGCAUCGUUGUGCAAGUUUAGCAACAGCAAUUACCUCCCUUUCAUUUGUUUGAUCCAUAAUUUGAGGAUCAAGAAUCGUUGGAAGAGAAUUCUCUUCCAUGGAUGUCAGAAACCUUUGUGCCAACCCUAAAUAGACAUCUUCUCCUUCUUCUCUGGAAGGUAUGGGCUUUUGUCUUGUCAGGAGCUCAAGAAGAACCGCCCCAAAGCUGUAAACGUCACUUUUGUCAGAAAUUUGGCUCGACAGGAAAUAUUCUGGAUCGAUGUAGCCGAAAGUCCCUUGGACUCGAGUAGUCAUGUGGGUUUUGUCAAUUGCAAUGGACAAUGAAGCUCCAAAGUCUGAUACUUUAGCUAUGUAUUUUUCAUCCAACAAUAUGUUGGUGGACUUGAUAUCCCUGUGAAAGACUGGAAUUGUAAGCCCCGAGUGUAGGUAUGCCAAUGCUCCUGCUACCUCUGUGGCUACUUUUAAUCUCAAGCUCCAAGUAAAAGGAAAGGAUUCAGCCUCAUUGUCGUUUUGAAUGAGGUUAAAUAGGGUUCCAUUAGGGAUAAAUUCAUAGACAAGCAGAGGAACUUCUGUCUCCAAGCAACAACCCAGAAGUUUUACCACAUUCCUGUG